UACGUAGGGGGCUAGCGUUGUCCGGAAUCAUUGGGCGUAAAGCGCGUGUAGGCGGUUCGGUAAGUCCGCUGUGAAAGUCGGGGGCUCAACCCUCGGAUGCCGGUGGAUACUGUCGGGCUUGAGUACGGAAGAGGCGAGUGGAAUUCCUGGUGUAGCGGUGAAAUGCGCAGAUAUCAGGAGGAACACCAAUUGCGAAGGCAGCUCGCUGGGACGUUAUUGACGCUGAGACGCGAAAGCGUGGGGAGCAAACAGG
rnacentral:rRNA from 1 species